AUUGGGGCACCCCAUUUGCGGUGUAUUGCAGAUAGCAUUGUUGCAAUGACAGGUAACUGUAUUGCUUUUGGGGUCAUGUCGACUCCAAGGGCAUGGGCAGACAACCUGCAUUGUGAGGUAUGCUGUAGUGCCUUAGGAGCCUGUCGCAGUUUGCAUUAUGGCUCCAUCUAACAACAAUUUGGCAGGCGGGACAAGCUUUCGAGUUGUACCUUUUGGGUUUUCUCAGUUGCUGGCCUAAGGUGUGAUAUAUCACCCCAUCGACAACUACUUCCCCCAGAACCGGCCUCACCUCUACUGCCGUGAUGGUUACAUGGAGACCCCAGAAAUUAAGCCGGUAGUUCAGAGCCAGGUGUUGCAUCCCAGCUGAGAAUACUUCCCCGUGUGGUUGUGAACUGGGUGGAACGAGCUCCACCUCCACCCUCUGCUGAGUGGACACUUGUGAAACCAGGCAGGAAGGGAACAGGUAUUGGGAGUGGAGCUGGGACCGGAAGACAACUGCAAAGGUUUUCCUGGACCUCAGCGAGGGAUCUCUGUGGAGCGUCUGUCGCUGUACACUGACUCCAAUGGUACCAGGAGUCGCCUUUACCCUUGAGUCUCACCGCAUGUGAGGUUCUUUCUGUGACCUGGAAUGGACUGGUCCACCCGGGUUCUGACCACUUCCUUUUGAUCACCUUCAGCAGGACCCACUCAGCGUCGGACGUGGUUGGCUGGGGUCCCUCGGUUGGUUUCUCUGGAACCUGUUUUGAGAAUGCUGCAACUAAACUGUGGAGAGAUCUGUAAUAAUCACGGUGAGACAUAGAACCUUCACAUUCAUUUAGAAAAGGCAGUCUGGUUUGAGGACCUGGAAAUGGUCUGCCUGUCUGCAGUUCGUGAGUGGUCAGACCAUGUCUCUGAUUUACAGAGCUCCUUACGGACAUCAGAGCUAAAGGUAAGGUUGUGACCCAAUUCAUUUUGGUCUGUGCACAGAUUUUAGCCAAUUUUGGUUUUGAGGGUGUGAUUCAUUCUUUCCACCUUUCCCUGGGACUGUGGAUGGUACACUGUCCCAAAGGAAUGUUUAAGUCCCAAAGGUUUCUCCACUUCUUUUAGCUCCUCAUUUUUAAAGUGUGUACCAUUGUCUGAUCUGAUUU